UACGCAGGGGGCUAGCGUUACUCGGAUUGACUGGGCGUAAAGGGCGCGUAGGCGGUUUGUUCAGUCCGACGUGAAAUUCCUGGGCUCAACCUGGGGGCUGCGUUUGAUACGUGCAGACUUGAGUUCGGAAGAGGGUAGUGGAAUUCCCAGUGUAGAGGUGAAAUUCGUAGAUAUUGGGAAGAACACCGGUGGCGAAGGCGGCGACCUGGUCCGAUACUGACGCUGAGGCGCGAAAGCGUGGGGAGCAAACAGG
rnacentral:rRNA from 1 species